UGAGGAAUAUUGGUCAAUGGGCGUAAGCCUGAACCAGCCAAGUAGCGUGAGGGAAGACUGCCCUAUGGGUUGUAAACCUCUUUUGUGCGGGGAUAAAGUGUGGGACGUGUCCCAUAUUGCAGGUACCGCACGAAUAAGGACCGGCUAAUUCCGUGCCAGCAGCCGCGGUAAUACGGAAGGUCCGGGCGUUAUCCGGAUUUAUUGGGUUUAAAGGGAGCGCAGGCCGUCCUUUAAGCGUGCUGUGAAAUGCCGCGGCUCAACCGUGGCACUGCAGCGCGAACUGGAGGACUUGAGUACGCACGAGGUAGGCGGAAUUCGUGGUGUAGCGGUGAAAUGCUUAGAUAUCACGAAGAACUCCGAUUGCCAAGGCAGCUUACCGGAGCGCAACUGACGCUGAGGCUCGAAAGCGCGGGUAUCGAACAGGAUUAGAUACCCUGGUAGUCCGCGCGGUAAACGAUGGAUGCCCGCCGUUGGGAUUUGGAUUUCAGCGGCCAAGCGAAAGCGUUAAGCAUCCCACCUGGGGAGUACGCCGGCAACGGUGAAACUCAAAGGAAUUGACGGGGGCCCGCACAAGCGGAGGAACAUGUGGUUUAAUUCGAUGAUACGCGAGGAACCUUACCCGGGCUUGAAUUGCAGGAGAACGAUCCAGAGAUGGUGAGGCCCUUCGGGGCUCCUGUGAAGGUGCUGCAUGGUUGUCGUCAGCUCGUGCCGUGAGGUGUCGGCUCAAGUGCCAUAACGAGCGCAACCCCUGUCCAUAGUUGCCAUCAGGUCGUGCUGGGCACUCUGUGGAGACUGCCGCCGUAAGGUGUGAGGAAGGUGGGGAUGACGUCAAAUCAGCACGGCCCUUACGUCCGGGGCUACACACGUGUUACAAUGGGGCAUACAGCGAGUUGGAUGUGCGCAAGUACGUCCGGAUCAAUAAAGUGCCUCUCAGUUCGGACUGGGGUCUGCAACCCGACCCCACGAAGCUGGAUUCGCUAGUAAUCGCGCAUCAGCCAUGGCGCGGUGAAUACGUUCCC
rnacentral:rRNA from 1 species